GGCCCGGCAGCCCAGGGGGCGCCAUGUGGUUCAUGUACAUGCUGAGCUGGCUGUCACUGUUCAUCCAGGUGGCAUUCAUCACUCUGGCCGUCGCAGCUGGGCUGUACUACCUUGCAGAGCUGAUAGAAGAGUACAUGGUGGUCACCAGCAGAAUCAUCAAAUACAUGAUCUGGUGCUGAUCGGCCUCUACGUCUUUGAGCGCUUCCCCACCAGCAUGAUUGGCGUGGGCCUUUUCACCAACCUCGUCUACUCUGGCCUUCUCCAGACCUUUCCCUUCAUCAUGCUGACGUCGCCUAGCUUCAUCCUGUCAUGCGGGCUAGUGGUGGUGAACCAUUACCUGGCAUUUCAGUUUUCUGUGGAAGAAUAUUAUCCUUUCUCUGAGGUCCUGGCCUACUUCACAUUCUGCCUGUGGAUAAUCCCAUUUGCUUUCUUCGUGUCACUUUUGGCUAGGGAGAAUGUCCUGCCCUCCACCAUGCUUCCAGGCGAUGACGUGGUCUCCAAAUACUUCACCAAAGGCAACCGAGGCAAGUGCUUAGGCAUCCUGGUUGUCUUCUCCUUCAUCAAAGAGGCCAUCCUACCCAGUCGGCAGAAGAUAUAUUGACCCUUUGGGGAGGGCAGGUGGGGGGCAAGACCAAUAGAGCCAGGCCCCUGGGACUCUGGGAGCCUGGAGGGUGUCUUCUGCCAGCCCAGGUUUCCCUCCCCUCUGUUCUGAAGCUCCAUCCCCACCCUCCUCAGGAGGCCUGAAUGCUGCCAGGGGCACCAGAGAGGGUAGCAGAGCCUGCUGUGCCAGGAGGCUAUGUCUCCAGCCCUCCCCUCCCUAGAGCUGGGUCUGGUCAGAUGGGGCAAGCAGGAAAGCGAGU